GUAUGAGGGCAAUCUGGCUUAUACAUCUGUCACCUGUUGAUCUCCAGGGUUGAUCUGGCUGACCUGGCUGGCUGGGCGCAUGCCCCCUUGCUCCCUUACUGCUCCGUGUGUGUCCAUCCAGAAGAAGGACCUCUCUGGUCAAGGGUGUAUGUGUAGCGGCUCUUCCCUGGCAGAGCUUACAAAUCAGCUCGAAAGGCCUAAAUUCACUCAGCUGGCAAAAAUGACUAAAUUUAAAGCAAUAAUGAGAAAUACUGCAUUAU
rnacentral:snRNA from 1 species